rnacentral:rRNA from 1 species
UGGGGAAUAUUGCACAAUGGGCGAAAGCCUGAUGCAGCGACGCCGCGUGAGGGAUGACGGCCUUCGGGUUGUAAACCUCUUUCAGCAGGGAAGAAGCGAAAGUGACGGUACCUGCAGAAGAAGCGCCGGCUAACUACGUGCCAGCAGCCGCGGUAAUACGUAGGGCGCAAGCGUUGUCCGGAAUUAUUGGGCGUAAAGAGCUCGUAGGCGGUUAGUCGCGUCUGCUGUGAAAACUCGAGGCUCAACCUCGGGCUUGCAGUGGGUACGGGCUGACUAGAGUGCGGUAGGGGUGACUGGAAUUCCUGGUGUAGCGGUGGAAUGCGCAGAUAUCAGGAGGAACACCGAUGGCGAAGGCAGGUCACUGGGCCGCAACUGACGCUGAGGAGCGAAAGCAUGGGGAGCGAACAGGAUUAGAUAGCCCUGGUAGUCCAUGCCGUAAACGUUGGGCACUAGGUGUGGGUCCAUUCCACGGAUUCCGUGCCGCAGCAAAGCGC